CGUCUCCGGGAAACAGAGAAACGAAACGAAACGAAAGUCUGAUAUGUUGACGCUGUACGGAUUUGGUCUUCAGCGGAUUAAACGUAUAUUCUUCAUUUAUGGGCUGCGUUAAACGUGACAGUGGACGGCCUUUUUAAAUAUCAUCCUGUUAAUGGAUUUGCUCUCCAACCAAUCAAGUGACGGAUUAUAUUCAUCAAUACUCAAUGGUGGACUCAGGAAGACAGCAGUCCGAAGUGUGAAGGAUAAAGUCGCUCAGGUCUGGCUGUCAUUUAAUUGUAUCGCCAUGAUUUCAUUUGCCGUGUGAUUUAUUUGUCUCAUGAGUUGUUGUCCUUUCUGAGCCUUUCUGAGCUGAACUGGCGUGCGUUGACCUAACUUGUCCUCGCCUCUCAGUGUGGUGACUGAUAAACGGUUUCCACACUGAGGACUGAUUCGUGUUGUCAUGUCACCUGGACAUCCUCAGGGUCUGAUUCAAUCUGUGUGUUUCAUCAUUAUCCUCCCUGUACACAAGCACUUCCGGGUUUUCCACUAAAUAAAUUCCUUUUCUAUAAAACUGCGUUGUGAAGUCUGAGCAACGUGGAGGACAGUAAACAAUCUUUCUUUUUUGAAUGUUACAGAGACAAACGGCUGACGUUUUCACAGCUGCCUCCUUACUUUUGUCCACAUCGUCUAUAAUCAGGUCUACUUAAGAGCCGACAAGGUGCACGGUCAGGUCAUCCCUCAGUCCUCAAACACACACACAUCAGUGAGGACAGCACAGUCAACCUUCAGCAUCAAAAGCAUUUAUGAAUCACGUGACAAAACACGCUGAGAGGUGAGAACAAAUGCAGCAUUUACUUUAGGUGUUUAGGUUGGGUUUAAGAAGAUUAUUCUGUAACCCUCCGAUCAGGCCACGCAGAAAAUAUGGAAACAUGGCGACAGACUGAUAAUGUCUUCAUCUCUAAUAUGCACUGGGAGAGUGAGAAGUAAGGAGGCCGGGGACAGCUGCAACACUUCCUGUAUUUGACUCCGUUACUCAGAGACCAAAUUAUUCUACAAUAAACUUACAUCUGGAAGUACAUUCUUAACCAUUUCUAUUUGAAUGUAAGGAGUCAGAUGGUUGCAACAUGUUACAAAUACAAUAUAUUUCAACGUUAAUAAAAGGAUUAUUAUCAAAAAUGUAUGUUAUAAUUAUAUUACAGUGUUAUUUAUUUAUCAGCUAUGGUCAGAUGACAGUUACAGAUCUGUCUAGAUGAGGGGUCGGCAACCCACGGCUCCGGGGCCGCAUGUGGCCCUUUCAUCCCUGUUGUGUGGCUCCCGUGGCUACAAGAGGGCGAGCAUAUUUUGGGGGAAAAACGAUAAUUAAUUAACGCCGACAAUUAUUUUAUCGCGCUGUUGUUUUCAUGAUAAUAAUUAUUUUUAAAGUCCAUUGAUCACUUGCUCACUACAAAACUGCGUUAAUGCGCGAUAAAGUAAAAACUAAUAAUUGACAGCAUUAAUUAAUUUAAGCGUUGACUUGCUCAGCCCUAAUGCGAUAACACGUUAACGUUGCCACAUAUUGUUUUAUUGGAAAUUAAAUGUAGAAGUGCCAGCGUGUUUUUCUCUAACGUACAAAAGAAUUAGGUGUUUUGCGCUGUUAAAAAUGGAAAAUAAACAUUUGUCAUUUUCUGCUUAAAGGUUAUUGAUUUCAUAAAAGUAACAUACUACAGUUCUAAUACAUAAAGCAUAAGUUUAACGAAACUAUAUGUGGUGUUAUGUAUAACUUGGUAGUGUCGCACAGGCUACGAUUAGAGGGGAAACGUUAAGUUUUUAUUCAGUGCAACUGCAAAAUAUUUAAAAUAAAAUGUGUCAACAGCUCAUUGGACAUGGACUUUAGACGUUAGAUUUGAAAAUCAUACACAGAAAGAUACUGCAGCUUCAGAUCUUUGUUAACUGCUUGCAAAAAAAAAGAAAAAAAGAAAAAAAAAGAAAAAAAAAAAGGAAAAAGAUGCACAACUAACUGCAUGAGUCAUCACCCUUCAGAGUCAAGCUGUCAGGUGCCAUUUUGUGAUCAAGUUCCACACAAGAUGGAGGAAGCUCUUUUAUAUGAUGAAGCUACUCUUAACUUCCACUGGUUGGCUGAGGUCAGUGUGAGCCAACAUCAUUUGCAUUUAUCCCUGCUUUGCUGUAAGGUUUCUAACACUGAACUUAUAUUGGAUUCUUAUUUUUCCACAGUGUAGUAUUUGUACUUUAACUUCUCCCACCCUGACACAGCCUGUUGGCAUCAAGCUUGUCCACAGCAGGAGUGGACACACCCCUCCUGUGUGGUGAGGUGACACUGAGGUCUGCUCACACCGGCUUUUCCGGGCAGGAGCAGCGGGACUCCAGGGACGACAACAUUCAAACUGUGGGUCCACUCGACCUUUGUUAGAUGGACUGCCAUGAACCCCCAGCAGAUGAAUCCUACUGACCAACAGGUCAAAGUUCUCACUUUAUUUCUCAACAAUUUCAAAGUUUGGUACUCUGAUAUUCAUGGACUCCACAUGAUGAAUCCUAAUGACUGACCUCGACUUUUCCUCACUGUGAGCACGUUAGCUGAUGUUAGCAUUCAGCUCAAAGUAAGCACAGACUCACAGAGCUGCCAGCAUGGCUGCAGAUUCUUUGUUUGUUUAAUGGGAAAGUAUAAUGCUGUUAUGCCAUGAACUCUGACACACAACCUCUUGCCUCAUCUAAACUUGUUUUAUAUUUAUGAUGACUAAAUGGCAAGUUUAUGACCAUGUAUUUGGUGACUUAAUUGUCUGACAAUUUAUGAUGGGGCAUCAACAACCCUUGACAAGACAGUCUCGCACCGAGUCGACCCUGAGAAAAAUGUUUAUAAGUGACAUAUUUUGUCAUUGGAGGGAACUCACUCCAACGAAAUUCGUGCUCUGCAUUUAACCCACCCAAGUGACGUGCACACACACACACAGCAAACCCGGGGCAGUGGGCGA